UACGGAGGGUGCUAGCGUUGUUCGGAAUCACUGGGCGUAAAGCGCGUGUAGGCGGUCUGCUAAGUCUGAUGUGAAAGCCCGGGGCUCACCCCCGGAAGUGCAUUGGAAACUGGCAGACUGGAGUCCCGGAGAGGAGGGUGGAAUUCCUGGUGUAGCGGUGAAAUGCGCAGAUAUCAGGAGGAACACCGGUGGCGAAGGCGGAUCUCUGGGCCUGUUCUGACGCUGAGGCGCGAAAGCUAGGGGAGCGAACAGG
rnacentral:rRNA from 1 species